AUGCUGCAGUUCAAGCCUGAGGAGAUUGCUGGCAUCAUUAAAGACUUUGACGAACCUGGACACCUUGCACCAACUGGUCUUUUCCUUGGAGGCACAAAGUACAUGGUCAUCCAAGGUGAACCUGGGGUUGUCAUCCGAGGAAAGAAGGGCACCGGUGGCAUCACUAUCAAGAAGACGGGCAUGGCCCUGAUUCUCGGUAUCUACGAUGAGCCCAUGACUCCUGGCCAGUGCAAUUUGGUCGUGGAGAGGCUUGGCGACUACCUGGUCGAGCAGGGUUUCUAA
rnacentral:rRNA from 1 species